UAUCAAGUAUUAUCCAAGAUUAUCUUUAUUUUUUCAUGGAAUACAUCAAUCAGACUGGGUUAAGCAGCAAAUGGAAUGCGCUGACUCACAUAACAGAAAAGUUUGGGGCUUCAGGCAUGUCUGGAUCCAGGGGCUUAACCUAUGACAUCAGGAGUAAGUCUUUUCUCUCCAUUUCUUGACUCUAUUUCCUGUUGACUUUUCAUUCUUAGGCUUCCUUUUCCCCAUGAGAUGGCAGAAUGGCUGCUUACAACUUUAAAUCAUACCGUUAACAGCAGAAAGAGUUUCUUUUCCCUGACACUGUCAACAAAAAUCCCAGGACUACAUCUUGUUGGUCUAACUCGUGUUAUUUGUGCAUCACUAAACCACUCUCUUGAGAAGGGGCGUGGAAGAUUCUGACAACUCCUCUCAACUCACUGAAGUCCAGGGAGAGGUGGCUUCCUGUCCUGUAUCAUUUCUGUUGGCCUUUCCUGACCGCCACCCUUUUCCUUCCUAAUUUGAGCCUCAACAGGCCAACCUGCAUGGUACCGCUUCCACAGUUCCCUUGUCCUCUGACUUACAGUUGAAUUCACCAAGUAGAAGAUGCUGGAAAUGAGACCAGAGGGUUGGAGGAGGAGGAAGCCUGCAAUGUGGGCAUGAAGGCUGGAGCUCUAGCAGCCAUUCUGGACUAGGAGGUAACCUUGAAGACGGAAGCCAGGUCAGAAUGGUGAAUCCAAAAGACGAAAAACCUGUAUCCCUUGUGACACCAGAGCUGCCAUACCAGCCGUGGGUUCCACCACCUAUAAUGCCUUCAUAUAAUAAAGAAGUAUUCUUGUAUCUUGUCACCUAGUCUGUUGCAGCCAAUAUAGUCCCAAGUGAUAUUCACUGUAAAUGAGUCCAUGGCUCCCUGUAGUACUUUUUCAAAGCAUCUAUCAUAAUUGUAAUGAAUAAUUAUGCAAUUCCUGGUUUACUGCCUAA